GGCGCGGUCGUCGGGUCGGCAUUUGGCUGUACUCGACGCGCCGCGCCUUACCUUCUGGAGCGCCGGCGUGCCCUUCACUGGGUGCGUCGGCCGCGCCAGGACUUUUACUUUGAAAAAAUUAGAGUGUUUAAAGCAGGCAAUCGCUUGAAUACAUUAGCAUGGAAUAAUGAAAUAGGACGUUCGAUCCUAUUUUGUUGGUUUCUAGGAUUGACGUA
rnacentral:rRNA from 1 species